UGGGGUAUAGCUCAGUGGUAGAGCAUGUGCUUAGCAUGUGUGAGGUCCUGGGUUUAAUCCCCAGUACCUCUG
rnacentral:tRNA from 1 species